GAUGAACGCUGGCGGCGUGCCUAAUACAUGCAAGUCGAGCGAACAGACGAGGAGCUUGCUCCUCUGACGUUAGCGGCGGACGGGUGAGUAACACGUGGAUAACCUACCUAUAAGACUGGGAUAACUUCGGGAAACCGGAUCUAAUACCGGAUAAUAUAUUGAACCGCAUGGUUCAAUAGUGAAAGACGGUUUUGCUGUCACUUAUAGAUGGAUCCGCGCCGCAUUAGCUAGUUGGUAAGGUAACGGCUUACCAAGGCAACGAUGCGUAGCCGACCUGAGAGGGUGAUCGGCCACACUGGAACUGAGACACGGUCCAGACUCCUACGGGAGGCAGCAGUAGGGAAUCUUCCGCAAUGGGCGAAAGCCUGACGGAGCAACGCCGCGUGAGUGAUGAAGGUCUUCGGAUCGUAAAACUCUGUUAUUAGGGAAGAACAAAUGUGUAAGUAACUAUGCACGUCCUGACGGUACCUAAUCAGAAAGCAACGGCUAACUACGUG
rnacentral:rRNA from 1 species